AAGAGGAAGUAAUUGAAAAUGUAUAAUUUACGACUUAUUAUCUUUCUGUCCGUAUGUCUGCAAAUAAAUUGUGUUUUAUUUGAUUUAUACAGUGGGAAAAAAGUUAAUGAAGAGCUCAAGAAACAACUUCGAUCACAAAAAGCCUUUGAGCAGUGUACAGUUGAUAUAAAGUCAUGCACAGUUCAAGAAGGAAGUCGAGUGAGCGGUACUUGUAAUAAUUACAAAUACCCAGCGGCUGGUGCUGCCGGUCGUCCAUACUUACGUCUCCUUAAGCCUGAUUAUGCCAACGGUCAGGAAAUAAGGACAGGCAGAAAUGGCAAGCCGUUACCGUCAGCUCGCAAAAUUCGUACAACUCUCGAAAGAGUUGGUUUCUUCCCGGAUACAAGUGCGUUCAAUGCGGCCGCUAUUCACUUCAUUGAGUUAAUCCAUAAAGAUUUAAGCGCUAUGAAUGGUCCUAUUGAUUUCAUUUAUAAAAGGCAGCACUGUUGUACAUCACAAAGUUCACAGGACACCAAAUG